rnacentral:tRNA from 1 species
GCGGGUGUGGCGAAAUUGGCAGACGCACCAGAUUUAGGUUCUGGCGCCGCGAGGCGUGGGGGUUCAAGUCCCUCCACCCGCA